CGGGAGGCAGCAGUGGGGAAUUUUGCACAAUGGGGGAAACCCUGAUGCAGCGACGCCGCGUGAUUUAGAAGGCCUUCGGGUUGUCAAAAUCUUUUGUAUAGGAAGAAAAUGACAGUACUAUACGAAUAAGGUCCGGCUAAUUACGUGCCAGCAGCCGCGGUAAUACGUAAGGACCGAGCGUUGUCCGGAAUCAUUGGGCGUAAAGGGUACGUAGGCGGGUCAUUAAGUUAGAAGUCAAAGGCUAUAGCUCAACUAUAGUAAGCUUCUAAAACUGGAGACCUUGAGUAAUGGAAGGGAAAGUGGAAUUCCUAGUGUAGCGGUGGAAUGCGCAGAUAUUAGGAGGAAUACCGGUGGCGAAGGCGACUUUCUGGCCAUUAACUGACGCUGAGGUACGAAAGCGUGGGUAGCAAACAGGAUUAGAUACCCGCGU
rnacentral:rRNA from 1 species